rnacentral:rRNA from 1 species
UACGUAGGGUGCAAGCGUUAAUCGGAAUACUGGGCGUAAAGCGUGCGCAGGCGGCUUUACAAGACAGAUGUGAAAUCCCCGGGCUCAACCUGGGAACUGCAUUUGUGACUGCAAGGCUAGAGUACGGUAGAGGGGGAUGGAAUUCCGCGUGUAGCAGUGAAAUGCGUAGAUAUGCGGAGGAACACCGAUGGCGAAGGCAAUCCCCUGGACCUGUACUGACGCUCAUGCACGAAAGCGUGGGGAGCAAACAGG